rnacentral:rRNA from 1 species
GUUCCUGGCUCAGGAUGAACGCUAGCGGCAGGCUUAACACAUGCAAGUCGAGGGGCAGUGCGGGAUAGCAAUAUCCUGGCGGCGACCGGCGGAAGGGUGCGUAACGCGUGAGCGACAUGCCCGUUGCCCGGGGACAACCGGUGGAAACGCCGACUAAUCCCCGAUGGAAUAUUGUGCCGCAUGGCACGAUAUUGAAAGUUACGGCGGCGACGGAUUGGCUCGCGUCCGAUUAGCUUGUUGGCGGGG